rnacentral:misc_RNA from 1 species
UCCCUAGUCAUAAUCACCUCACUCCAAUUUUAAAACUGUCUGGAGGGCAGAAAGCUCGGGUUGUAUUUACUUCAAUUUCUAUGUUAAGGCCGCACAUAUUGUUGUUGGAUGAGCCCACAAAUCAUUUAGACAUGCAGAGCAUUGAUGCAUUGGCUGAUGCACUGGAUGAAUUUACUGGUGGAGUUGUCUUAGUAAGUCAUGAUUCUAGGCUUAUAUCUCGUGUUUGUGAGAAUGAAGAGAGAAGUGAAAUUUGGGUGGUCGAAAAUGGAACUGUUAAUGCUUACCCUGGCACAUUUGAGGAAUACAAGGAAGAGCUACAGAGGGAAAUUAAAGCAGAGGU